UGCCUCCCUGCCAGCACGGCCCCACGGUGCCAGGGGAGGGGACCCAAACCAGCAGGUUCAGGCUCCGCUAGCACGGUGGAAGCGAGAUACCACGAUGAGCAAACCUGCCUCCCAAUCCCGGGGUCACUUCUGUAAUUAAUGAGAUGAACCUGGCAAUCAAACUUACAGAAUGUUGUCAAACCACCGUUAAUCUUCAUUAAUUUCCAUCAAACUGUCAAAUUAUUAAUUUACCUCAAUAAAACAUAUUGCUGCUUCUCUUUCCA